GUAAUAUUCCUUGAUGUUCAAUGCGUUGCUGGAGUUUCCCAUCAGAAGAAGACACAACUAGUCUUCUUACUUAAAUUUUGCAGAUUGAUUUGUGCUUGCACACUUUUGAUGUUCUUUGGUGUGAUAUGACGGGGAUGGUUUUGGUCAAGUGUGCUGACUUCUCCAAUCAAAGAUCUUGGACGUACACGCAUGGAAGUCAAUGUCAAGGUACCAGUGGUCACAGCAUCUGAUUCUACGUGUAUGGUUUCUUAAGAUACGAGCAUGGCUUCGAACUUUUUAAACACUGCUUUUAGUUGCUUGUUGGUCCAAUAAGGUCCUUCCCUUUAGUCGCUAGCAUAGCU